rnacentral:misc_RNA from 1 species
UUUCCGUAGGUGAACCUGCGGAAGGAUCAUUAUUGUAUAACCGAGGUGCGAGGGCUGUCGCUGACCCGAAAGGUCGUGCACGCCCGAGUGCCCUCACACACAUCCAUCUCACCCCUAUGUGCACCACCGCGUGGGUCCCCCUUUGGCUUGUUCGGAGGGGGGCUUACGUUUUCACACCAACUUUGUAUGCAGUGUAGAAUGUAUUUUUUGUUUUUGCGAUCACGCAAUCAAUACAACUUUCAACAACGGAUCUCUUGGCUCUC